AUUGAACGCUGGCGGCAGGCCUAACACAUGCAAGUCGAGCGGAUGAAGGGAGCUUGCUCCUGGAUUCAGCGGCGGACGGGUGAGUAAUGCCUAGGAAUCUGCCUGGUAGUGGGGGAUAACGUCCGGAAACGGGCGCUAAUAACGCAUACGUCCUGAGGGAGAAAGUGGGGGCUCUUCGGACCUCACGCUAUCAGAUGACCCUAGGUCGGAUUAGCUAGUUGGUGGGGUAAAGGCCUACCAAGGCGACGAUCCGUAACUGGUCUGAGAGGAUGAUCAGUCACACUGGAACUGAGACACGGUCCAGACUCCUACGGGAGGCAGCAGUGGGGAAUAUUGGACAAAGGGCGAAAGCCUGAUCCAGCCAUGCCGCGUGUGUGAAGAAGGUCUUCGGAUUGUAAAGCACUUUAAGUUGGGAGGAAGGGCAGUAAGUUAAUACCUUGCUGUUUUGACGUUACCAACAGAAUAAGCACCGGCUAACUUCGUG
rnacentral:rRNA from 1 species